rnacentral:lncRNA from 1 species
AAAACCAUGUCUCUUUCUCUUCUCCCCCGUACAUUGAUCUUGAAGAUCGGGUCAUAGCAUAAAUGCCCAUCAAGUGCGAGAAUGCAUGCACCCACUCCCUCUCGGUCUCUUUCCGUCUCUCUCCGCAUGGAAAAUAAUCCACGUACCUCUACUGCCUCCUCUUCCAUCACAUGAAAAUCAAAUCCAUGUCUCUCUUAAGCGGGUGCAAGUAAGUUUAGUCAUGGAUUUAGUGUUCUUUUAGAGAAACAAAUUUUUUCUACCACUGAUUUUAUAUAUCAUGUUCUUUCAUGGUUUUAUGCUCUCCAGGAUUUCAAUCCCAAAUAUUCUCACGUAUAAUAUUGGGAUACCUCUUGGAAAUUGGUUUAUGCCACAAAUAUGCCCAUCAGGUGAGCUUCACCAGAGAGUAAAUAAGUACCAAUCAUCAAAAGUUUGUGCUUUUUUACAUGUGAAUAGCUUUUUACAAACUACUGUCGUAUUCAUUUAUUUGUUCCAAUCUGUUUUUCUCCAGCUUUGCAAGUAUAGAUUUAGUCUAAGCCGUUAUAAAUUGGAUUCAUGAUAUAAUUAGCGCUUAUUCAAUAUUUUUAAAUUUGUUUGUAGUAUGGUCAGUGCGAUUAUCCAUGAGAAGGAUUCAUGGAAAUUGUAGCUCGGUGUUAUUAGGCUACUCCAUUAUGCUUAAUUGCGACGAACUUAUUAGCCUUCACAUGAUACUACUAGAUGAGGUGGUGUUUUAUUAGUACAAGUAUAUGAUUUCCUAACAUAUAUAAUCAUGCCACUAUAAGUUAAUAUUAGUUAUUAGAAAAACUUAGACCUAUUUGAACUGGAUUGUAAUUGUUUUAGGGCACUAUGAUACAUGGAACGGUAAGGAGACAUAUGGGUAAAAUGUUGAAGUCAUUUAUCCAACAAGGUUUAGUACUGUGCCUAUUUGUUCUCUUAAUUUUUUUUAUGGUAUUUGGACUAUGUUUAGAUCAAAAACAAGAUGUGUAAAGGCAUGUAUGGUUCUAGCUCUUUGCCAAAACCGCUCUCUUCCUUGAGCGGUUUGGGAAUUUUCGGUUGUGCUUCAGAAAAGAUUGACAACUAGGACAAACCUUUAUGAAUUACAUGCUCUAUUGAAGGUUGUGUANNNNNNNNNNNNNNNNNNNNUGUAGGGAAGGGCAUUGAGGUCUCAAGGAUGCUUGAUGGUCUUACUUUAUAAUAGAUUUGUGGCAUGAUGUUAUGGUUUCUUAUCAUGUUCUCUUCCUUAUGUUUUAACCUACGAUCAGGUAGUAAUUUUAAAAUAAGUAGCUGCAGAUAAAGAGGACUUCUUAUUGAGUCGUGUAUUAUUGUAUGACACACUUUUGCCAUAGCCUCUACUUAUUCAUUGAUCAUCUGUGCCAGCUUCCCUUUUCAUUUAUACAACCAUGAAGAGAGCCUAAUACAAGUAGGUAUUUUCAAGCUGUAGCAGUAACAUUGAGUUAAAAAAACAUUCCUAUGUUGUAUCUAUUCAGUGUUAUAUUUUUUCUACACACUGUAAUAAACUUUUCUGUUGCAUUUGUAUUUAAGAAUUUUAAGCCUGUGCAGCUGUUCAGGCUUAUGCUUGCAGGAUCAUUGAUGUCGUCUACAUGCUCAGUGGGUAUAUAUUCAUUUGGAUACCCUUAAAUCAAUUGAUUUCCACAUGAGGUACAAUAGGUUUUUUUUUCUAUAUAUGUAUAAAUAAAUUGGUAUUUUAUAUGAACUUCUUCAUUAUCGUUUUAUUAAAUAUAAGAAGUGGCAUAAAUUAACAAAAUACUCCUAAAUUGGAUGGCUUAUUUUAACAAUGCCUCUAAAUCAAUUGAUACGUGUACAGGCAAAACGAGAUGGAGAAAACCAAUACGUGCCUUUUGUGAAAAUUCAUGUACACCGUCACAACAGAAUUAUUAAGUACAAGAAAACAAUGCAAAAUUAAAAUGGGUUAACUCUAAUGUUUGUUUACUGUGUUCUUAGAGAGUUAAUGUACUAAAUACACUAUCCCGUGCGAAAGCACGGGUUGACGACUAGUAAAAGUAAUUGCUUUCGCGCCUUAAACCUUGUUUAUUUUGGAAACGCACGCAAGUUUAACCGUGCCUUCUAAACCGUGACAGAGGGAGUAGCAAGUUGGAACAAUUAUUGUCUGUACAAUAAGCAAUGAUAUCUUUCAUGAUGAGGUGUGUGGUGUUCUCAAUUGGUGAAGGAGUUGCAUAACUUGCCACAAUGAUUGUGUCUAAACAACCUAUGAACUCUAUCAUGUUGAACUGAGUUGUCUCAUGUUCAAUGCAAGCUCGCGUUCUAACUCUAUCAUUAAAGGUGUGACUCUAGAACUCCUUGAUCUUGGUGGCAAAUAGGAUAGGGGGUGGAGCGUUCUAAAGGCGUGAGCCGUGUGGUGAAUCCGCGAGGCUCCGGCCUUGCAGGUGAUGGGGUGCAGGAAGCGCUUCAUGCAGUCUUCGAUGCCACGGGUCGGCUCACGGAUCUGGUCGCCGUACACCAAAGCGACGGUCAUGCGAGAAGAAGCCGCAACACUGACCUAGCGAUCGUCUAUGCCCGCAGGAUCCUGAGGUCUUCCUGCAGAGACGGGACUACAACCUUGAUGUUCUCCACAUCUUGUACUUCCUCUCGAUCAAUAUGUUGAAUCUUCGAAAGACGACAUUCGUGAAGCGGCCGCUUGCUCUGCAACUAGCGCCGCCGAUGUUACAGUACCUCGAUCGAUUGCUUUGGAGGAUUAUGCAGACAACACUAAUCACUGCUGGAGCACAAGCACCUAUAUGUGUGUGUGUGUGUGUCAUUGCUGGAGCAACGUCUAUUCAUUAUCUGCCCGUGUACAAGUUCUUACUUAUUGCCGCUAUGGAAUAUCUCUAAUAUGACAUUUCUUACAACAUUUUAAAUUGUCCAAAUAGGAUUUGAUUUGGUUCACAAUUUUCAGUCAGUUGAAAGUUACAACCAUGGUUGUCUCUACAAGCACCGAUGGGGUCUGUCAUGAUUGUGUUUAACAAUAAUGUGUUUAACAAUAAUAUUCCUUACUAUCUCUAUGUAACCUCUCGGUCGAGCAUACAAUAAUGUGUUUAACAAUGAUGAGUUGUUUCGUGUUGUCAAUUAGUCAAGUCACCACGU